ensembl:lncRNA
AGUUUUCUGGACACACCAGGUGAUUCAUCCCACGCAUGAACUCCAGGUCAGCGUCGCAGCUCACGCCUUUCCCAAAACGGCCCCUCAGAGGCAGGCCCCGGACAGAGAGACAGGGGCUGUAGUUACCAAGACUACGGUGCCUUACAUUGUCGAUUGGAUGCUGUUUGGGACGCACUUCUUGGAGUAGAGAACCAACAGAUGGCGAGAAAGUUGGUAGCGUGCCAAGAGUAUGAGUAACGGACUGCCGGACCAUUUGGCCUAACGUUGGAUAACGGACCGGACGAAGCCUACGUGCUACUUUGAAAAGGUCAGAUUCGACUGUAACAAUACACAUUGAGAGAACGGGCAAAGUUCUGACUGGAUACAAAACAAUGCAAAAGCCCAAAAAGCUCUUCACAGAAGACCCCCAAAGCACUAGAUUCCAGCAUUCCCCUGAAUCUGUCAUCGCCAUAACUACAGACUCCAGCCCAAUUGGGUUGGGGUUUUAACUUUGGCUUGCAACGCUAGCACUUGACUUCAUCACAUAUCCACUCAUAUCAAAUCACACUGCGCUUAUCCUCAGUCAAAUUCCUGCAUUCAGGAAAAUGCAUUCUAUCA